CAUGAUAUUCUCUAUUGUGAUAGGGUGGGAGGGAGGAGAAUGCUGGGCCAUUGUGAUGUCUAUCUGUAGACUUUGAGUGUGAGAAUAAGAGAAUUCUUCCUCUGGUACUAUUCAACAGCAGCAGGUUUACACCCACUAGAGGAGAAAGCUUGGAAGACUAAAGACUUCAGGGAACACCCUUUUCCAUUUCAACCCAAGGGGCCCAUUCCUUCCUUAAUAUGGAAAAAAAAUCAAGUAUGCUCCGUGUUCUUGGAGGCAGAGAGAGAAGUCCCUUCCCUAAAUUUACAAUGCAUCCAAGGUUUUGACUAGAUAAAGGCAAAAAAUCAGCAGUUAGUGUCUAGUAGCCUACAAGAGAACGCAUUUGAGGAAAGAUAUUGAAAAGCUGGAAUACAUCUAGAGAAUAGCUACAUGGAUGAGAAAGGGAUUCAAAGUCAUACUGUGAAUAGAAAGAUUGAAACUCCUACAAAUGUUUAGCGUAAAGAAGAAACUACUGGGGGGAAAGAGUAUGAAGUUUAUGGAAAAAGAUAAUGGCCUCUCCAAAAGGUCCUCAUCUCAGUUUACAGAUUUGUUUCUGGAAAAAACAAAAAGGGGGAAACCCGAAGUUAGUGAAAAAACUAAAGAUGAUGCCUCUGUACCCGUCAAAAGAAGAAAGAUCGUUUUUGAACCCCCUAAAACUGCUACCAACUCUGGUCUCUUAAGAAAUAUUGAAAAUAAAAAAAUAUGGAACACAUAUCAGUCAGCUCUGUCACAGUCUAAGUCAACACCAUCAAAAAUACCAUUAUUUAUGAAUGAAAAACCCUCCCCUCCCUGGGAAGACGAGGGAAAAACGGAGGAAGAAUGUCUACUUGAUUCUUUAAGAAAAAUGGUUAAUGAAAACCAAGAGCUAAGGAAAGAAAAUGAAGAAUUGAAGCAAUUAAUUAAAGAAAUGAAGAAUUCUUUCCUACAUAGGUUAUUUACUCCAGACAUCCAUAUGACGACAAUAGACUAUCUACAGCAACUUUUGAGCCAUUUGGAAAAAACAGCUCCAACGAAUAUUUAUUCUUCAUUCCUAAGAGAUGACUUGAAUCUUCAGGAUAAAAAUACAAAACCUUUGAUUAUAGAUCCUCGGGAUCCAGAUAAAUACUCCAAAGUGCUGGUGGACCAACUUAGAAAAAGUUAAAAUUUUAGCUUGUGAAGAAUUUAUCAAGCAAACUUGCAAUAAGGAAGGGUGGAAGGAACCAAGCCAAAGGGAGUUCCAAAAAAUUUUCACAGCCAAGAUAGACAAUGCCCGUUGGAAUAUAAGACACGCCAUGCAAAAAGCUGCCUGAAGAUGUGCCCUUCUUUCUUCUCACCAUUCUACUAUGUAAUACUUUGGCUCAAAGGAAAGUCAGACAAUUAAAUAAGGGAAGUGCUGUAAUUUCUUGCUGUGCAAAUAGAAAGACAAAUUUAUUUUCUCUCAAAUAUCUUGUAAGACAAUCCACAAUGUAUAAGCAUAUCCCAAAUCAUAUUUCUUAUUCUGUCAAAUAGUUUGUAUAAUGUUGGGAUUAGUUGUUCUUUGAAUGUUUGAUAGAAUUCAUUUGUGAAUCCAUCAGAAUCUGGGGAUUUAUUCUUAGGGAGUCCUUUGAUGGCUUGUUCAAUUUCUUUUUCUGAUAUGGGGUUGUUUAGGUUGUCUAAGUCUUCCUCUGUUAGUCUAGGCAAUUUAUAUUUUUGUAAAUGUUCAUAUCACAUAGAUUGCCAUAUUUAUUGCCAUAUAAUUGGAAAUAAUAGUUUUUAAUGAUUGUCUUAAUUUCCUCUUCAUUAGAGGUGAGGCCUCCCUUUUCAUCUUGGAUACUGUCAAUUUGGUUUUCAUCUUUUCUUUUUAAAAUUAGAUUGACCAGUACUUUGUCUAUUUUAUUUGUUUCUUUUAAAAGUACCAGUUUCUAGUCUUAUUUAUUAAAUCAAUAGUUCUUUGACUUUCAAUUUUAUUAAUUUCUCCUUUGGUUUUUAGGAUCUCUAAUUUAGUCUUUAUCUGAAGAUUUUUAAUUUGUUCACUUUCUAGUGUUUUAAUAUGCAUGCCCAAUUCAUUGACCUCUGCUCUUCCUAAUUUGUUUAAUAUAUGAACUCAAGGAUAUAAAUUUCCCCUUGAGUACUGCUGUGGCUGUAUCCCAGAGAUUUUGAAAGGAUGUCUUAUCAUUGUCAUUUUCUUCAAAAAACUUAUUGUUUCUAUGAUUUGAUCUUUAAUGGAUUUUGGAGAAUUGUAUCGUUUAAUUUCCAAUUAAUUUUUUAUUUGCCUCUCCAUGUACCCUUACUUAUUAAUAUUUUCAUUGCAUUGAGGUCUUCUUUCACUAUUUCCUUAUACACCAGUGUUUUGUUUUAAAUCAGUCCCCCUAAACCCCACCCUUAUUUUUUCUUCCCUUUCUACCCCCUCCCUUCUUAUUCCCCUCUUAUUUUCUUUACAGUCUUUUUAAACUAUCCCUUCCUUCCCUUGUAUUGCCCCUCCCCAGUCUGUUUGUUACCCUUCUACUUCCUUAUAGGGUGCAAAUCAAGUCUCUGCCCCAAUGUAUUUGAUUUUUCUUCCCUCUUUUAGUCGAUUUUAAUGCAUGGAAGAGUUGGGUAUUUCCUAUCUCCAACCUCUUUAUCCUUCCAGUGUAUUGAUGCUCUCACCCCCUCCCACCAUGCGCUUCUUUGUGACAUAUAAAUUGACCACAUUUUGUUUCUUUUCCCAUUUCUCUUAAUAUUAACCUCUUUUUUAAAACUCUAGUUGUAUACAUACACAUAUAUACAGAACUAGAUAAUAUAUAUACAGAACUAGAUAAAUCAAACCAAAUAUAUAUAUAUACACAUAUGUAUGAAUUUAUGCAUACAUAUAUCUAUAUACAUAUUUGUGUCUUGGCAUUUCAUCCUAUACAGUUUGUCACUGUUCCCUCUAAGUAUAAUUCUUCUAGCUACCCAGGUGAUAAUAACAAUUUUUAAGAGUUAUCAAUGUCCUCUUUUCUUAUAGGGAUACAUAUCAUUUUAAUUUAUUGAAUCUUUAAGAAAAGUUUUUUUGUUUUGUUUUGUUUUUCUUACCCCCCCCCCUUCUUAAUUACCUCUUGAUGAUUCUCUUGAGUUCUGUAUUUGGGCAUCAAUAUUCUGUUUAGGUCUGGUAUUUUCUUUACAAAUGCUUGGAAUUCUUUUAUUUUGUUAAAUGACCAUACUUUCCCCAGUAAGAAUAUAGUCAGUUUUGCUGGGUAGAUGAUUCUUGGUUGUAGGCCUUGUUCCCUUGCUUUCUGGAAUAUCAUAUUCCAUGCCUUUAGGUCCUUCAAUGUAGAUGCAGCCAGAUCCUGUGUUAUCCUCACUGUGGUUCCAUGGUAUGUGAAUGACUUCUUAGCAGCUUGAAAUAUUUUUUCCUUGGUCCGAUAGUUCUUGAAUUUGGCUAUAACCUUCCUGGGUGUUGUCAGUUGGGCAUUACCACAUCAUAUUUCUUAAACCAAUAUAAUUUCCUUAUAACAUCCUAAUACACUUCCACCCAACUUAUUGUGGGGUAACAUCCAACAGAGUUGUCCUUGGUGUCAGGAAGACUUGAAUUCAAGUUUUAAAACAUACUGACUGUGUGACUAUUGUGACUAUUAAGUCAUCAGGGACAAAGGCAACUUUCUAAAAUGUGUCCAGGUCUCUGUCCUGGUUUCUCCUCUUUAUAUAUAAUUUCACCAGAUGAUCUCAUCAGGUCCCAUGAAUUCAAUUAUCAUCUCCUAUCAGAUUAUUAUCAGAUUGAUCUAUCUUGUCCUAAUUUUUUUCUUCACCCCCAAUCUUAUAUCUUCAACUACCUAUUAGAUAUCUCAAAAUAGAUGCCACAUAUCCACUCUAAAUUCCACAAAUCUAAAACUGAAUUUAUUUUUUCUCCUUCUGAUUUCCCUGAUACUGUCAAGGACACUGCCAUCUUUUCAGUCACUCCUGAUCACAUGCAGUUGUAAUUUUCAACUCCUAAGAUCAUUUAUCUCCCAAAUCGAAUCUGUUGCUGAGUUCUGCUGAUUUUGCCUUCAACAUUCUCAUGCAUUCCUCUCCACCUUCUCUUUUCUGAUACUGUGAUUGCCUUGGAAUAGGCCUUCAUCACCUCACACCUAGACCUUGGAAAUAGCUUUCUGGCCUCCCUACAUCAAAUGUGUUCUUGCUCUAGUUCAUUCUCCAUUCAGCUGUCAAAGUAAUCUUCCUAAAAUGCUGGCCUGAACAUGGCACACAUCCCGAAUCAGUAAACUCCAGUAACUUCCUAUCACCUCUAGUUUCAAAUAUGAAAUCUUCUAGAGUUCAUAACUCCCACCCAUCGCCCUUUUCAGUUCUCUUUCUUUUUUAUUAAACCUUCACGUUCUCUUAGGAUUGAUUCUAAAUAUUGGUUCCAAGGUAUAAGAUCAGUAAGGACCAGGCAAUUAAUGUUACCUAGGGCCACAAAACUUGGAAGUGUCUGAGGUUAGAAUUGAACCAAGGUCCUUCUCACUUCAGGUCUGGCUCUCUAACCAUUGUACCAUCUAGCUGACCCUCCACUUGUCUUUUGUUUUAUACUCCAUCACACAGUGACAAUGACCUUCCUUGCUGGGUCCUGAAUAAGAAAUUCUAUCUCCAGUUUGGGACAUUUUAACUGGAUGUGUGCCAUUCCUGGAAUUCCCUCCUUCUUCUUCUCUGUCUCCUGGAUUAUCUGGCUUUUCUCAAAUCUUAGCUAAAAUCUCAUCUUCUGUAAAACCUUUCUCAAUCUCCCGUAGUGCUAAUGCCUUUCCUCUAUUGCAUAUCUCCACUCUCCCCUGUAUAUAUCUUGUAUGAACAUAGUUCUUUUCAUAGUAUCUCCCGCAUUAGAUUGUGAGCAUCUUGAGGCCUUUUUUGGUAUCUCUAGUUUUUUUAGCACAGCUCCUGGCACAUAGUAGGUACAUAAGAAUGCUUAUUGUUGAUUGACUGAUGACCUUCACUGGUAGAAGGAUUUUCUUCCCUAGAGAUCUCCUUUUACAGAUGAAAUCAGGAAUGUAAAAAAAAAGUCUAUUAACAACAGUAGCAGAGCAACUCUACAGUAACAGCACAAAACCACUGACACAUUCUCCAUCAUCAACAUAGGAAUCAGGUGGGUGACAAUGACUUAGACUACCUUAAAACUCCAUAACAUUAACCUCAUUCUCAAACAAUCCCACUGUUUCUCCUCUUUAAAAUAAAACAUUGUUCCCAUGGGAGUAUCUCUUUCCU
rnacentral:lncRNA from 1 species